GGAGGCGUCUGGGUUCCUGGUGGGCCCCGCGGUCUUCAAAACCGACGAGAGGGCGACGAGCUCUCUGGCGGGUUCGAUUCCCGUCCGCCUCCGC
rnacentral:tRNA from 1 species